GAUGAACGCUGGCGGCGUGCUUAACACAUGCAAGUCGAACGGUGAACGAGGGAGCUUGCUCCCUCCGGAUCAGUGGCGAACGGGUGAGUAACACGUGAGCAAUCUGCCCUGGACUCUGGGAUAAGCGUUGGAAACGACGUCUAAUACCGGAUACGAGGCGUGGGGGCAUCCCCAACGCCUGGAAAGAACUUCGGUCCAGGAUGAGCUCGCGGCCUAUCAGCUAGUUGGUGAGGUAACGGCUCACCAAGGCGACGACGGGUAGCCGGCCUGAGAGGGUGACCGGCCACACUGGGACUGAGACACGGCCCAGACGCCUGCGGGAGGCAGCAGUGGGAAAUAUUGCACAAGGGGCGCAAGCCUGAUGCAGCAACGCCGCGUGAGGGACGACGGCCUUCGGGUUGUAAACCUCUUUUAGCAGGGAAGAAGCGAAAGUGACGGUACCUGCAGAAAAAGCACCGGCUAACUACGUGCCAGCCGCCGCGGUAAAAC
rnacentral:rRNA from 1 species